UACCUGGGUUCUCUCACAUGUAUUGUACAGUCUCAGCAACACUUUGCUCUCUCAAGGUUGCAUCUUUGAAAUGGCUCCGGCUACGGGAACCAUGAGCGGAACGUAUAUUCCAAGUCCAGGACAGGAGCUGAGGAGCCUCUAACUGCGUGGUCCCGCCCGCGGGUCAACUGGUGGUCAGAUCCACUUGACGACCUUCUCUAGCAAUACCUCCGUCGUCAUUCUCUCAGAGCCACAUUUAAACUACUCAAAAUUCCAUCUGGAAUUCAAGACCUCACAGGAAAAUGAAACAUGAAGUGCCAACAUUUUGCUUUACAAAGCUUUUACGAAAGUCCCUGGUUUUGAAUCUGCAAAGAAAUCAUAGUAGAAAGUUAUACUUCUAAGGAGAAGACUAUGGAAUCAUUGGAAUUCUCUAGGAACACCUCUUUUUCUUCAUCUCUAUUGCAAAUUACAACUUUCGGUGCUAUUUUAUAACAGAAUGGAUCUCCAAUACCUGACAUCCUGCAUAUCCAAAUUUCCAACUUCCAUACAGAUCUGAAGCUGCAGACAUGGGAUAUCCAAUGCUACUGACCCCUAUGUCAGUAACAGCCAGAUAAGAAAAUGGAAGAACACAAAGCUGAGGGAAUUUGCUCACUAUUGCAUAGAUACUAAAGGAUGAAAUCCAAAGUGCAAGAGUUUUCCAAUACAGCAUUCUGGGAAUGAGCUGAAUUUCCACCUUGUCUUCAACAACAAUACAGUCUGCUCUCUUUUUUUACAACUUUCAUUUUCUUUCCAGGACCUUAAUUAGAUUUCCAGGAUCUUAAUUAGAUUCCACCACCAAAGACAAGACGACACAGAGGAUGUGUGAGAAUAGUAAAUGACCUAAAAAUACUUUUUUGCCAUGGUACACAGUCUUCCCCAAUAAAGCCUUAAUUUGACAAUGUAGUAACCAAAUAUACGGAUGAUUAUUACAAAAUUAUUCAUUUUAUAGAAAACUUUUCUCAACCGCACUUCACCACUGUCACAUUAUUUAUCAGGAUUCAAAAUAACUUAUGGCAUUAACCACCCUUAACAAUGCCUUCAUUUAUCCUUCCAUCCAUGUUCUCUCACUCUACAGCCAGGAAACGGGGCAAGUAGUAUCAUCCCUAUUGCCCACAUGAGCACCCCAACUCAGAAAAGAUAAAGGACUUGAAACAUCUCUGAUCCCAUACUUUUUUCUACUGACUUAUGCUGAAAAACUGUUUUUCUUCACCCAUUUGAAAGAAAAAUAACAGUUAAUGGAGUAAACAUCCAUACCUGCUGUGAUCAAGUAAGCUGCAACAAUAUUGUGUUCAGUCUGCGAAAAGACCGAGCCAUCUUCAUUUUUAGAGUCUGAACUGUUGUCUAAGUUAUUCCUUAGCAUUUUGGAGGGAAGAAGUUGAGACAGCCUUCAUAAUGAGCGUUCAAUGAUUAUAAAAUGUUUUAAGAGUCGAUGAAAAAGAAUUUUCAGAACCAAUCAUUCCCACUCAAGGACCUCAGAGAAGGGCCUUUUCGUAGAGGCCCUCCCUUAACAAAUUUAAUUGGGCUAGAGAAAGGAUUUUAAUUCCCAGAACAAGGCAAAAGCUUAUUAGCAAAAUACAGAGAAAUAACAAGCACCACGCAUUUUAAACAAUUUGGGCAUCAGCUUAGUAUCUAAGGAGAUUAUCAAGUGCACACAUCCCAUUCAAACAAUAAACAUACUCAAAAAUCAGUGUGGGAGCUGACUUAACUGAUUGCUGCUGGAAAUCAGUCCUGAAAUUAAGAACCAGCUUUGGUCACCUAAAACUAUUCAGGUUAAGGACCCUACUUUCUGUUGAGCUAUUUGAGUUUUUCCAUUUCAGUUUCUUUUUCCAGAACAAUUUGAAUAAUCAGACAUAAAGAAGUAGUCUCCCUCCAUCCUUCCAAAUCUCACUCCCCUAAAGGUAGUAGUAAUAUUUUUUGGUGUACAUCUUCUCUAAUAUAUAUUCAUACUAGGAUUUGAGGUUUCUCCCACUUUUUUUUUCUUUUAAGCAAAAAGGGGUAGAUAUGCAUAUAUAAAAUCAUUCUGUAACAUAUUUUCCCCUAAAGCCAGAUCAUAAAUUCCAGGUCAAUAAACCUAAGUCUAACCUAUUAAUAGCUUGUAUUUCAUAGCAUUGAUAUAGUUUAUUUUACAAUCCACCUCACUUAAUUUACCCUAUGCUUUGGUAUGCACAAGUAAUUAUCUAAUAAUAAAAGUCACAGAAUAUAUCAGCAAAGUAUCUGGAUUCAGUCAUUCAUCUUAAG